rnacentral:rRNA from 1 species
GAAACCGCGAGGUCAAGCAAAUCCCAUAAAGUUGUUCUCAGUUCGGAUUGUAGUCUGCAACUCGACUAUAUGAAGCUGGAAUCGCUAGUAAUCGUAGAUCAGCAUGCUACGGUGAAUACGUUCCCGGGUCUUGUACACACCGCCCGUCACACCACGAGAGUUUGUAACACCCGAAGCCGGUGGAGUAACCAUUUGGAGCUAGCCGUCGAAGGUGGGACAAAUGAUUGGGGUGAAGUCGUAACAAGGUAGCCGUAUCGGAAGGUGCGGCUGGAUCACCUCCUUU